CUACGGGCGGCUCCAGUGAGGAAUAUUGGACAAUGGGGGGAACCCUGAUGCAGCAACGCCGCGUGGAGGAUGACGCAUUUCGGUGUGUAAACUCCUUUUAUAUGUCAAGAAAAUGACGGUAGCAUAUGAAUAAGCACCGGCUAACUCCGUGCCAGCAGCCGCGGUAAUACGGAGGGUGCAAGCGUUACUCGGAAUCACUGGGCGUAAAGGACGCGUAGGCGGGUUGGAAAGUCAGGUGUGAAAUCCUACAGCUUAACUGUAGAACUGCACUUGAAACUUCUAAUCUAGAGUAUGGGAGGGGGAGAUGGAAUUAGUGGUGUAGGGGUAAAAUCCGUAGAUAUCACUAGGAAUACCUAAAGCGAAGGCGAUCUCCUGGAACAUUACUGACGCUAAGGCAUGAAAGCGUGGGGAGCAAACAGGAUUAGAUACCCCCGUAGUC
rnacentral:rRNA from 1 species